rnacentral:rRNA from 1 species
UGCGUAGGUGGGUCGGUAAGUCAGUGGUGAAAUCUCCGAGCUUAACUUGGAAACUGCCAUUGAUACUAUCGAUCUUGAAUACUGUGGAGGUCAGCGGAAUAUGUCAUGUAGCGGUGAAAUGCUUAGAUAUGACAUAGAACACCAAUUGCGAAGGCAGCUGGCUACACAAAUAUUGACACUGAGGCACGAAAGCGUGGGGAUCAAACAGGAUUAGAUACCCUGGUAGUCCACGCCCUAAACGAUGGAUACUCGACAUUUGCGAUACACUGCAAGUGUCUGAGCGAAAGCAUUAAGUAUCCCACCUGGGAAGUACGAUCACAAGAUUGAA